rnacentral:rRNA from 1 species
CUCGUAGGCGGCCAACUAAGUCAGACGUGAAAUCCCUCGGCUUAACCGGGAAACUGCGUCUGAUACUGGAUGGCUUGAGUUUGGGAGAGGGAUGCGGAAUUCCAGGUGUAGCGGUGAAAUGCGUAGAUAUCUGGAGGAACACCGGUGGCGAAGGCGGCAUCCUGGACCAACACUGACGCUGAUGAGCGAAAGCCAGGGGAGCAAACG